rnacentral:rRNA from 1 species
UACGUAGGGAGCGAGCGUUGUCCGGAAUCAUUGGGCGUAAAGAGCAUGUAGGUGGAUCAGUAAGUCUGCUGUGAAAGUCAAAGGCUCAACCUUUGAAAGCCGGUGGAUACUGUUGAUCUAGAGUACGGAAGAGGCGAGUGGAAUUCCUGGUGUAGCGGUGGAAUGCGCAGAUAUCAGGAGGAACACCAAUAGCGAAGGCAGCUCGCUGGGACGUAACUGACACUGAGAUGCGAAAGCGUGGGGAGCAAACAGG